CAGCCCUAAACGAUGCGCGUUAGGUGUAUCGGUGACCACGAGUCACCGAGGUGCCGAAGGGAAACCGUGAAACGUGCCGCCUGGGAAGUACGGUCGCAAGGCUGAAACUUAAAGGAAUUGGCGGGGGGAGGCACCACAACGGGUGGAGCCUGCGGUUUAAUUGGACUCAACGCCGGGAAGCUCACCGGAUAAGACAGCGGAAUGAUUGCCGGGCUGAAGACCCUGCAUGACCAGCUGAGAGGAGGUGCAUGGCGAAGUCGUGU
rnacentral:rRNA from 1 species